UACAGGAUUAGAUACCCUGGUAGUCCACGCCGUAAACGAUGAACACUAGUUAUUGGGGGUAAUUGACUCCUUCAGUGACGCAGCUAACGCAUUAAGUGUUCCGCCUGGGGAGUACGGUCGCAAGACUAAAACUCAAACAAAUUGACGGGGGCCCGCACAAGCGGUGGAUUAUGUGGUUUAAUUCGAAGCAACGCGCAGAACCUUACCUAGGCUUGAACUCCUACGAACCUGACGUAAUGGUCGGGGUGUCCGCAAGGAAAUGUAGUGAGAGGUGCUGCAUGGCUGUCGUCAGCUCGUGUUGUGAAAUGUUGGGUUAAGUCUCGCAACGAGCGCAACCCCUAUCGUCUGUUGCCAGCAUUAAGUUGGGCACUCUGACGAGACUGCCUGGGUUAACCAGGAGGAAGGUGGGGAUGACGUCAAGUCCUCAUGGCCCUUAUGUCUAGGGCUACACACGUAAUACAAUGGCGCGUACAGAGGGAAGCGAACUCGCAAGGGGGAGCAAAUCUCAAAAAGCGCGCCUCAGUUCGGAUUGGAGUCUGCAACUCGACUCCAUGAAGUUGGAAUCGCUAGUAAUCGGAGAUCAGCACGCUCCGGUGAAUACGUUCCCGGGCCUUGUACACACCGCCCGUCACACCAUGGGAGUUGUUUUCAUUUUAAGACGUGACUCUAACCGCAAGGAGGAGAGCGUCUACAGUGGGAGCGAUGACUGGGGUGAAGUCGUAACAAGGUAACC
rnacentral:rRNA from 1 species